rnacentral:rRNA from 1 species
AGCGUGGAGACAGGUGGUGCAUGGCUGUCGUCAGCUCGUGUCGUGAGAUGUUGGGUUAAGUCCCGCAACGAGCGCAACCCUCACCUCUUGUUGCCAUCAGGUCAUGCUGGGCACUCUAGAGGAACUGCCCCGGUCAACGGGGAGGAAGGCGGGGAUGACGUCAAGUCAUCAUGCCCCUUACGUCCUGGGCUACACACGUGCUACAAUGGCCGGUACAAAGGGAUGCCACACCGCGAGGUAGAGCUAAACCCAAAAAGCCGGUCUAAGUUCAGAUUGGAGUCUGCAACUCGACUCCAUGAAGGAGGAAUCGCUAGUAAUCGCGUAUCAGCACGACGCGGUGAAUACGUUCCCGGGCCUUGUACACACCGCCCGUCACACCACGAAAGCCUGCUGUACUCGAAGUCGCUGAG